GAUGAAGAACGUAGCGGAAUGCGAUAAGUAAUGUGAAUUGCAGAAUUCAGUGAAUCAUCGAAUCUUUGAACGCACAUUGCGCCCGCCAGUAUUCUGGCGGGCAUGCCUGUUCGAGCGUCAUUUCAACCAUCAAGCCCUGCUUGCGUUGGGGUCCUGCGGCUGCCCGCAGGCCCUGAAAACCAGUGGCGGGCUCGCUAGUCACACCGAGCGCAGUAAUACAUCUCGCUUUGGGCGUGCGGCGGGUUCUUGCCGUUAAACACCCCCUUUUUACCAAGGUUGACCUCGGAUCAGGUAGGAAUACCCGCUGAACUUAAGCAUAUCAAUAAGCGGAGGA
rnacentral:misc_RNA from 1 species